AUUGAACGCUGGCGGCAGGCUUAACACAUGCAAGUCGAGCGAGCGGCGGACGGGUGAGUCAUGUCUGGGAAACUGCCUGAUGGAGGGGGAUAACUACUGGAAACGGUAGCUAAUACCGCAUACCAUCAGAUGUGCCCAGAUGGGAUUAGCUAGUAGGUGGGGUAAUGGCUCACCUAGGCGACGAUCCCUAGCUGGUCUGAGAGGAUGACCAGCAGGACGGGAACUGAGACACGGUCCAGAACCCGACGGGAGGCAGCCGGGGGGAAUAUUGCACAAUCGGCGGAAGGCUGAUACAGCAAUGCCGCGUGUGUGAAGAAGGGCUUCGGGUUGUAAAGGGUUUGCAGCGAGGAGGCGUUAGUCGCAGAAGAAGCACCGGCUAACUCCAAGCCAGCAGCCGCGGUAAUAC
rnacentral:rRNA from 1 species